rnacentral:siRNA from 1 species
AGAAGCCGAAUACAGAGCGGUUGC